rnacentral:sRNA from 1 species
UCGGCUCUUACAAAAGAGUGGUAAUGUUAGAUUUAGUCAAAGUUCCUUCUCAGUUAUUUCUCGAAACCUUUCGUUAGACCUGCGUAAACUUUCUCUUGAUAAAUCAUUCAUAGCUUUGUAUAGCCACUUUCAAUAAUUGAUUAAUUUUUUAAAGAGGUCACUAUGUCUGGAAAAAUGACAGGUACAGUAAAAUGGUUCAACGAAACUAAAGGCUUUGGUUUCAUCUCUCAAGACAACGGCGGCAAGGACGUUUUCGUUCACUUCCGUUCAAUCGUUUCUGACGGUUUCAAAACUCUGGCUGAAGGCCAAAAAGUUAGCUUCAAUGUUGAGCAAGGCCAAAAAGGUCCUCAAGCUUCUGAAGUAACUGUACUGUAAUCAGUAACCAGUUUUUAAGACAAGUGGUGCGAUUCGUCGCACCACUUUUC